rnacentral:rRNA from 1 species
AACGAACGCUGGCGGCAUGCCUAACACAUGCAAGUCGAGCGAGCACUUCGGGUCUCGUGGCGCCCGGGUGCGUAGCGCGUCGGAACCUGCCCUCAGGUUCGGCAUAACUCCCCGAAAGGGGUGCUAAUACCAGAUAAUAUCUUCGAACCAAAGAUUUAUCGCCUUUCGAUGGGCCCGCGUUGGAUUAGCUAGUUGGUAGGGUAAGAGCCUGCCAAGGCGACGAUCCAUAGCUGGUGUGGAAGAAUGAUAAGCAACACUGGAACUGAGACACGACCCAGACUCCUACGGGAGGCAGCAUGGGGGAAGAUGGAAAAAUGGGCGAAAGCCUGAUCCAGCAUGGCCGCAGGAGGGAUGAAGGCCUUAGGGUGGUAAAGCUCUUUUACCCGGAAUGAUAAGAACAGAACCGGGAGAAUAAGCCCCGGCUACCUCGGU